rnacentral:tRNA from 1 species
GGAGAGGUGGCCGAGCGGUCGAAGGCGCACGCCUGGAAAGCGUGUGUACCGAAAGGUACCGAGGGUUCGAAUCCCUCCCUCUCCGCCA